GUUUCUUCUUCUUCUUAGUCUUC
rnacentral:sRNA from 1 species